CCAUCUUGCCGACACCCCCUCCUCUCCUCUCCCCCGGUUCUCCUGCCGCCGCCACCCCUUCCUUCCUUCGUCCCCGCCCUUGCUGCGAGCCCCUCCCUCUCUUCGUGCCGCCGGCCGUCGCAGCAACGCAAAACAAGGCGCCGAGCCGCGAGAGCUCGCCGUGUGCAUGGAGCUCGUCCACCAGCGAGGCCCCCCGUACGCUGAGCUGCGGGAACUCGGCGUGCGCGUGGAGCUCGUCCACCAGCGAGGCCCCCCGCACCAGCAACAACACUGCUGGCUGCCACACACCAUCACCCACGCCUCCUCGUCCCGCUGGCCUCCGCGGCAUUCGGCGACGCAGAGCAGGGCGCGGAGCCGCGGGAGCUUGCCGUCUGCGUGGAACUCGUCCCACCAUCGAGGGCCCCCGCACCAGCGACAACACCGUCAUCCACGCCCUCCUCCCCUGUUCAUUCUCGUCUCCAUCAGGCAGGUGAGCUCCUGCUUCCUCUCUCGGUCUCCCCUCGAUUUAUGCUUGUGUUUUUUUCUUUGUGGGAUAUGGCUACUACUUGUGCUACUGGUUAUACAUGAAUUUAGUGCUGCUGGUUUUGUUGUUGCAAUGUUUGGCUGCUGCUUGCCCUGCUGCCAUGUGCUACUACCUGAUGUUGGUUGCUUCCUUAUUUGGUUAUUUGUGAACUAAAAACUCUUCCCAAGAUGCAACUAUUGAAAAGAAGGCUAUGAGCCAAGGAGAAGUGAUGAUAAAUAUGGUGUAAGUGCCUGUUAUUCAUCACACUUGAGGGAAAGGACACCAAGAGCAAGAGAGAAAGACCAAUACAUGACUAACUUGCCUUGUUAAGCUCCAUGGAUGGUGGGAGGAUCAUUCAGCUGACCAAGUGCAGUAUGAUGAUCCCUCGUUUCUUAUCAUCGGCAGGACUGUGGUGACAGGGAGCAUCAGCAACUGCAAUUUAUACAAGAAGGUUGUUCCUUGCAAGGGCACGACAUCGUCAAUUCUAGUGGUGGUUAGAUGAUUCACUAUCACAAGGUUUGUCUUCUUAACAAGGUAUACAUUUCCCCCGACUUUUACUCCAAUCUAUUUCAGCUAGGCGAAUCAUGAUAACCCUCUUCUUAAAGCAAAAAAAUAAUUUUAACUUGAGAUUGUUCCAUAUGCCAUGGUUAAAAUAAAUAUACUCUAAUGUGAUAAAAGAAUUGGUUUGUAAUAUUGUAUUGUUUUUAAGAAGACCAUAUGUAUACUACCAGAUUAUAUUGACGAGAGGUACAGAGAACAUACAUAUGUACAACCUUAAAAAUUCCUUUGUGUGUGCUAUGCUAUGCCUGAGGCUUACAACUAUCCAUUCGGAAUUCCUAGAGUGCACAAUAAAUGCUUAUUCAGCACUAAUGGCAGAUUCUGUACAUGUUUAGCAGUUCAACGCUUUCAGGAUUAGAAGCUUUUUCCAUAACUUAUUUGAAAUUUGUAGCUCAAUAGGUUACUCCUGUAUGUAGGUGUAUUUAAGUCUUUUGUAGAAUGAGAUUAUUGAUAUAUGUCCUAAAAAAUAUUUUACUUUACUUGGAACCAAAUUGUUCAUUGCCAAUUGUAUAUGGGCACUAUUUUAUACAAGAUGCAGCUUAGUGUGCACUGAAACAUUACCUACAGAGUUUGGCACAAUUGGUAAAAGAUUACUGCUGAUGAACCGCAAACUGUUUAAAAGAACAUGUGAUGCAUGUAAGCAUGCUCUUGCAAGUUCUUCUUUGUUAGGCUCUUUUCGGGUAUGAAAGCUUCACUCAGUAAUUAUCAACUUGUAUGCCAUUCUUUUCUAUCAGCUCUAUUUCAUGCUGGAGAGGCUUUGUAAAGCAAUUGCAUACUGUCUUGUGUAAAUAAUAUUAAUUAUGUAUUUCUUUAGGGUGAUAAACUUAAUUUAUGAUAAGAGCUUCAAAAGUUUGGCAAAAAUCCUCGACCCAAAGUGAAAUUAGAUUUGUACAUUGGCUUGGAUAUGAGUUGAAGCUUGCAACAUCUAUAGUUAAUUUUUACAGCUUCUACAUCUACAAUUAAUUUUCGAGCUUAUGCAGCUAUGAUCGGUAUUUCCGCUGAAACUUUUACAGUCUGAAGGAGGAAUCCUCUUGUGGGGCUUUAGCAGAAGUUGCUUUUUCUCGGUACUCAACAUACUUCGUAUGAUUCCUUUUAUUAUUAAUAACAAUAAUAACUACUAUUUCGCAUGCUAAAGUCUCAUGUUUUCACCAUCACCCUUUGAUUGUUUGGAUAUUUAAAUUGCAGCACUUGUUACCUCUUUAUAAUUGAAAAGGGGUUCCUAAAUGUAGCGUGUACCUAUAAAAAUUUGGACAAUAUGAACAUGUGAGGAUUCUAUUUUGUGUGCGGCUAGCCUUCUAUAGAAGAUUUAGGGAGGCUGUAUGUCUUAGGUAUUUAUGGCAAAUGUUCGUUACACUUAAUUCGUUCGAGUAGGCAUUAGCCUUUUCUCUCUUUAACACAGUACAUUAGUUAGGAAAUUUUCAAUUGUUGCCUGCUGUCCAUGCACAAAUUAGGUACUCUUAUACAGUAUUACUUCUGAGCGUCUACAUAAGUGCACUACAGAUUUACUUGAUUUAUUAGAUCGUACACACCACUACAAAGUAUACUGCAGAAUAUUUGUUCUCCACUAACAGCAACACCUUCCUUUAAAAGGGGAAUUGUUUCAUUAUUGGAGGCUUUCAUUUAAAUAUUAUUGGCAGCUCAUUGGAGGUUCGGAGAGAUGAGAACAACUGAUGCCUCCUGCAUAAAUAUUACUUGCAUUUUCAGUUUCAGCCUGUCUACGGAUAUGAUGUAGAGCUGAUGCUUCGUGAAUUCAUCUCCCUGCUGCUGCUGCUGGUGCCCCAAGUGGUGGUCCAGUCUAGAGGACAUGUAUUUCUCCUCUAUUUUGAAAUUUUAGAACUGAAUCAAUUUUUCAGCAGUAGACAAGCUGAGUUUAUAGUAUAUAAAUUAUGAGAGGAUUAUGCCUUCUGUUUUCAAUAUGAAUUUCCUUCGCGAAAUUGCCCCAGACCUAAAUUACAAGAGGAUUAUGGAGGCGAUGAAGAUGUAAAUUAUGAGAAGUUGAGUUUAUAGUGUGUAAAUUAGGAGAGGAUUAUGCCUUCUCCUUUCAAUAGGAAUUUACUUGCAUGCUAUUGCCCCAGAGCAUUACCGUGAUACAAACAUUUGUAUUCCCUAGAUGAGGAUGACACCAGAGCA